CACUCCUACGGGAGGCAGCAGUGGGGAAUUUUCCGCAAUGGGCGAAAGCCUGACGGAGCAAUACCGCGUGAGGGAGGAAGGCUCUUGGGUUGUAAACCUCUUUUCUUAGGGAAGAAUGCAAUGACGGUACCUGAGGAAUAAGCAUCGGCUAACUCCGUGCCAGCAGCCGCGGUAAUACGGAGGAUGCAAGCGUUAUCCGGAAUGAUUGGGCGUAAAGCGUCCGCAGGUGGCAUUGCAAGUCUGCUGUCAAAGCUCAGGGCUCAACCCUGAAAAGGCAGUGGAAACUGAAAUGCUCGAGUGCGGUAGGGGUAGAGGGAAUUCCCGGUGUAGCGGUGAAAUGCGUAGAGAUCGGGAAGAACACCAGUGGCGAAGGCGCUCUACUAGACCGCAACUGACACUCAUGGACGAAAGCUAGGGGAGCGAAUGGGAUUAGAAACCCCAGUAGUCCCAU
rnacentral:rRNA from 1 species